AUUGAACGCUGGCGGCAUGCUUUACACAUGCAAGUCGAACGGCAGCACAGGGAGCUUGCUCCCGGGUGGCGAGUGGCGCACGGGUGAGUAAUACAUCGGAACGUGUCCUGUUGUGGGGGGACAACAGUUGGAAACGACUGCUAAUACCGCAUGAAGCAUAGGGGUCGCAUGAUUCUUAUGCCAAAGAUUUAUCGCUUCAAGAUGGCCUCGCGUCUGAUUAGCUAGUUGGCGGGGUAACGGCCCACCAAGGCGACGAUCAGUAGCCGGACUGAGAGGUUGAACGGCCACAUUGGGACUGAGAUACGGCCCAGACUCCUACGGGAGGCAGCAGUGGGGAAUAUUGGGCAAUGGGCGCAAGCCUGACCCAGCAACGCCGCGUGAAGGAAGAAGGCUUUCGGGUUGUAAACUUCUUUUAAGAGGGAAGAGCAGAAGACGGUACCUCUAGAAUAAGCCACGGCUAACUACGUG
rnacentral:rRNA from 1 species